rnacentral:rRNA from 1 species
UACGGAGGUGGCAAGCGUUGUUCGGAAUCACUGGGCGUAAAGGGCGCGUAGGCGGGGCCGGAAGUCGGGUGUGAAAGCCCCGGGCUCAACCCGGGAAUGGCGCUCGAGACUCUGGCUCUUGAGUCCCGGAGAGGCGGGUGGAAUUCCCAGUGUAGCGGUGAAAUGCGUAGAUAUUGGGAGGAACACCAGUGGCGAAGGCGGCUGACUGGACCGGUACUGACGCUGAGGCGCGAAAGCGUGGGGAGCAAACGGG